rnacentral:rRNA from 2 species
UACGUAGGUGGCAAGCGUUGUCCGGAAUUAUUGGGCGUAAAGCGCGCGCAGGCGGCUUCUUAAGUCUGAUGUGAAAUCUUGCGGCUCAACCGCAAAUGGUCAUUGGAAACUGGGAAGCUUGAGUGCAGAAGAGGAGAGUAGAAUUCCACGUGUAGCGGUGAAAUGCGUAGAUAUGUGGAGGAAUACCAGUGGCGAAGGCGGCUCUCUGGUCUGUAACUGACGCUGAGGCGCGAAAGCGUGGGGAGCAAACAGG